GAAAGACUGGUCAAGAGAAAUAAUAGACCGAUGACGCUUUAUUACCAGAAACAUCUCCUAAAAGAGCAUGCAAAUAAACUGACAAUACUCACUGGGAAUUCUUUUUUAUGGUGUGCUCUUUUUUUUUCCAGCAUCAUUGUCUUUGUCUGUAACCUUUCACAUCCUCCACCUGUUUCUGUGUGCAAAAUACAGAGAUUUUGGUUGUUAAAUUAAUGUGAAUACUACAAAGGACUAGAUUUUGCUUCCUGCUUGGGGCAACAAAAAGGUGCUCAAGCUGUAUUAAAACGCAUAAACAAAAAGAGCCCUUGCAAAAAGAGGUUAUUCUCUACAAGAAUAAAAUACCUAGCACCACGAAUACACUGAUCUCAAUACAGCUAACCCCUCAAAAUGCCCAACAUUCCUACAUAUGGAGUAAAUUAGAAAAAUUAAAUUGUUUCUUACUCGGUUUGCUAUUUUCAGUUCCAUAGCUUUUUUGUCUAUUGAAUAAUCCUCCCUUCACAAUUUUGUUUCUGAUGUGCAGUUUUUAGUAACAAUGUUUACUACGACUGUUGUAGAGGAAAUUCUUUAGGUUGAAGGCUCAAUCCCUUCCAUAAGUUCGUUAGGAAUAUGCUAAUAAAAAAUAAACUUCUACAAUUCUUAAGUAACUUGCAAAAGCAGGAAACCAAAGAGCAUAGAAUGUCGUAGUAAGGCCUAAGCCUUUACCACCAAAGCUACCAGACUAAACUCAGGAAUCAGAAUGAGUCCUGGAUAGCUCAAACACAUGGAAGCAGUCUGGGUCACCAGAGCACACUGAUGGCUGAGUGGAUUGCUAUUUCCCACGGCUGCACAGUGGUCCAAGUGAAAGGAGCUGGGAGGGACCCAGCUAGACACAACCACAGCAGGGAGCCACAGCUCCUGGGCAGUAAUCCAGCAGUCCCAUCAGCAUGGUGAAGUCAAAAGAAAGAAGAAAACUUUCCAAGCAUGGUGGGAACUGGAGGCAGGUCAACUUAUUCAUAAGACCUCUGCACAUAUAUACCCUGUCCACCGAAGCCAGACCAGAAGCCAACCCAAGAGAUGCUCUUUGCUCUGAAGCUUGGGCCUCCUUUAGCUCACACAACUGCCAAGUCUUGAUAACUACAUCUAGGCACAACAGUGCAAAAACCCUAUGUGUUUUCUCACACACCAUAGUCUGAGUAACACUGAGUGAAUGAAUAUCAUAUUCAUCACCUUAUCCUUUGCAUGUCCUCCAAGGGAGCAUGAAAGCUUCUGGAGAAAUGUCACUGUGCUUUUGUUUACUACCCAUGUUCUGAAAACGUAGGGGAUGUUCAUACAGAGAUCAUCAGGCAAAUGGCAUUAACAGCAGUAGCACGAGUACCAGUCACAGACUGGCAGAGAGCUUAUGAAUAGUACGAUGAAUGACCUGUAGCAAAAGCCAUGGGCAAGAGCUAGCCAUUAGUCUAGGGCUUAGUAAUGCACACUUCAAGUACAUUACUCACCAUCCAUCAGGCAACCCGCUAAAGAACUGAGAGAUUCCAGCACUUUUAAAUUUGUAACGCAGUGGCUGGCAGCCUGCACUACAUGCCCUAGGUUACAAGGGCAUGGAGAAAGACAAUUCAUUUUGUGUCACAGCCAGUAUUUCUUCUUCUCCUUUUCUGUGUGUACUUAAGAAAUGGGCCUUCUAUUACCUGCAGAUUAAUAGCAGAAUAAUCCUCUGGUGUCUCUGUUAACAUCAACUACUGAAGAAGGCUUUCAAAGAACUACCAACCCUUAUGGUUUUCAUUAACUGGACUAAGUGCAGAGAUGUGCAUGAGAAUGGAUUUGGUUUCUUAAUUCAAAGACAGUGCCUUAAACUAGAACAAUUACAAAGUACUUUUAGAAAACUGGAUGUGACAGAAUUUAGGUUGCCAGCAUAAUUUGGGUCUUCCUGUAUAAGCAUGUAAUAUGGACUCCAAUUAAUGAUCAUACAGUGUCCUAGAUUCAGAUAGUCAUAAGGUGGAUAAUGUACACAGAAAAAGUAAUCGGUCAGUAUUUCCUUUUCCCUCAUGCAAAUCAGUGUGUGGCUCGGCUUGUGUUUACUGCACACUUUUCAAACCUCACAAAGAACACUGUUAUUAAUUUCCUAGGGGAAAUUUCUAUGAUAUUCAUCACUACCUAAGUUCUUCAGGACCAUUACCUAAUCUCAGCACAUUCAUGAGGAAAGAGUUUUAUCAUCGACACUUUAAAAAUGCAGAAUGAAUGCAGAAAUUCAAGUAUUAGAUAUGUCCUCUAAUUUUAGGUGCUUGAAUCCACGUGUCUACUUCUGAACUGUGAAGCACUUAACAACUUUACAACACUACAGCAUGGACAUAUUUUGGUUCGUUUUCCUUCUCUGGAAUUAGUCUGGCAGGAAGGAGGAGAGGGGAGAGGACCUGAUGGCAUGUGCUGCUGACAACCAGCAAAUGGAAAUCAGGAGAUGAGGAGAAAGUUGACAGUGACAAUGCAGAAAAAGGGAGAAGCUAUGAAGAAAAAAAGGAUCCACAACAAUGGGGGUGAGAACAGAGGGUGGGAGGCAGAAAAAUGGAACAAUGAAUGAGAAAUGAGAAAAGAAUGCAUGGAAAAGCAUGUAGGCAUGACAGAACUGAAAUCAAAGCCCCGUCCAAAGUAAAAGCAGUAUAAUUUGCGAAUCAGUUUAAAAUGAUUUAACCCAACUGUUGCAAAAUCUAGAGCAAAGUCUUAAUUUGGGUUCAGAGUAGCUUAAUUUGAUAAUUAAUCAAUGCGUGCCUCUUUUAAAUGACUAUAAGAAUAUUUAGACAGGAUUCCUCACCACUUAAAUAUUUCAUUUUUAAAGACAAUUCAAGUUUUUAUAUGGAGUAUGCUUCAAAGAAACUGCAAAGACAAAGCACAGAGAAAACAGAAAAUUCUUAGCUAUAGCAAUACAAUCAGAAAACCAAGGCUAAAACACUAUAAAAAUCCACAGAAUUUCUUUCCAUCUAGUCUAAAGGGUCUGCUGGCCUACAGAAGGGCAGGUCUGGGCAGCCUCUGUGCCUGUGACUUGGUUCCUUGCACCCACAGAACAUGCUGAUACUGGCACUUAUUCAGGUGUUUGCAUGCAUGGCUGUGAAGCACAUGCAGACAUUCACACCUUGUGCUUCAGUGUAUACUUAGCAGCUUACGGCCUUCUUUGCAAGGCCUUAAAAUAUUCUAGUAUAGGACAAUUCAGUAGUUAUGUCCACGUUCUGUGGGACCAAAUCCUGCAGAUGUGGUCUAUGUUUGUUCUGCAGCUCUGUGCUGCACUUGGCCGGCUCUGUGCAGUGCCUGAGCGCUGGCCAAGCUGUGCCAGAUGCCUCGCCUGCCCACGCUGCUGCUCUUGUUUGAGCUCUGCCAGCACAUUUCCUGGUCGCUUCCUGUAUUUAAGACACCCAUCAGUAUUUCACCAAUUGCUUCUGUAUUUUCUCAAUGAAAGAGAAACUGAGGGUGUAAAUGGUCACAAUCCAUCUAAUAUAACAAUCUGCAUGGACCUGCAUGCUAAGAAACAACUCAGUCUUGCUUGCAGGACAAACCUGCUUCUGUUGGCUACCACUACAGUAUGAACUCCUCCAGCCACUCCAAACAAAGGUAUCACAUUUUUACCUGUAGAGGCACAGCAUUCUGCUUCCUCCUGGUCGCAGGCUCUCACUGCCAGAGCUCCUGCAUCCCCACCACUGCCUUGUUGCAACCAGGACUGCCCACAGCUGGGCUCCUACCAGAGAAGCUCACCUGCAGCUCCAACACCACCAUUUCAGCCACAUCACUGCUGGGGAGCCGCAGUGUGUGCCAUGUGUUAUCACCUGGGUUUCUUCCAGGGCUGGGCUUCCGUGCACCAAUCAAGCAGCUGAGCACAGGAACAGCUAUGCUGCUCCAAAGCUUGCUGACUGAGCUCAGGGUCACCUGGGGCAAAGAGCUGGCACUUCUUUUGCCUUUUUCUGAUUGUGAUUUGUUUACCAGAAUUGAGUAUUUGACCAACAAAUAAGUUGCUCUUUAAGAAACAACCUGAAACCUCAUUUCUUCUCGCUUGAUCAUUUGCCCUGGUAAGGCUGAAGUAAAAAAUAAACCAAGCCACUGCUGAAAAAGUACAGUGGUAACCUGAAUGCGGCCUUGGUGACCGAGUCAGGUCUUGAGCAGCUACAGAAAAAGCAUGUGAGAGCCAGGUUCUGCAACAGCACCUUUCUCUGCCCUCUGGGUUAUGCACACGAGAGAACACAGACUUAAGUCUUUGGUCACAUUCCUUUCCUGAAGCAGUCUAGCCUGGGAUCUUCAGAGAACAGCCUACUCUCAUCAGACACAAGACUCUCUUGACUGAACCUGUUUGAAACAUUCAACACAUUACCGUCUCAAGGAAAACUUUAGUCCUGCCUCGCCAUACUGAUCUGGCAGAGAGCUGAAUCCAGGCUGCAAGACGUGGAUUAGGGAGAUACCCAUAUGUCCUGGGGCACCAAUACCAGGGCUGCAGUUCUCCCUACAGACAUUACAUCAUUGCAGCUUGCUUUGAUCUGAGCUGUGGUCUUCAAAGCACCAAAGAUGCCACUGGCUUUUUCUGUCUCCCUUCAACAAGAUGCUCAGCUGCCUGCAGCUUGUGCCCAAGAUUCUGAGACCAGAGAAUCAGGAAUGAAUCUAACACAUGGGCUGCAUGUUGGAAAUAUGAAACAAAGCAAUAGUCAUGUCUCUGUAUUAUAAUAUAUUAAUGUUCGCAAUGUGCAAAUUGGACCCAGAGAUGUAAUUUCCACCUUUAAAAUUUAUUCUGUUUCUCUGUUGUCCCUCGAUCUUUCUACUUGCUUUCAAACAAGAGAGUCAAAACUGUAAAGAAUGACUCAAGGUAUCAAUGAAGAUAGAAUUAAUGGAACAAGCAGACCUGGUAUUGUAGAGGACUGCUCCCUAAUCAGCCACAGGGUUAUGCAGGUUUCCACUGCCGUGGCAGAAAUGAGGAGGGAAGGGCACACAACAAGGAAGCAGGAGCGGUAGGGAUUCACCUUGAAGGCUUUCAUGCGCAUGAACUCACACACACACAGAACAAAAGCAACUCUGCUGUGCCUAUGGGGAACUCUCACCCUCAGGCUAACCCUAAAGCAAGCAUUAACCUACUUAUUGCACCUCUAGGCAAUUUGCUGGGUGAGGAAGCUGACUAUUUGGGGAGGAAGGUGAGCAGAUCUCAGAUAUUCUCAGCACAAUAUCCCCGUCUGCUGCUGAAGUACAGCACAGUGAAGGCCUGGUCUGGAUCACCUGUAUCAGGUCUGUUGAUCUGCCUACCUCACAUGUGAGGCAGAGAACAAGGAUGUGACCACCUGCCCUGCACACGAAGUACCCUCAGACUGAAAGAGCAGCACACUGCCUGUCAUGUGGGAGAAGUGCCAAGGGCUCUGCUGUGGAGCUUGGGCUCACUCAGGCUUUGCUGGCCAAGCAGCAUUUGUCCUUUCUUAAGAUUUACGCUAUGCCUCUGGACUCAGAAAACAUGCCAUUGGCCUGACUGUCACUUUGCAUCUUCAGGAACUGCCAUCAGUGCUUCCAUGCAGACAGUCGGCUCCAGAUUCAGUAGGUAUUGCUGUCAGUUUUAGCACCAGUCAUCAUGCUGCUGCCCUUGAAACACACAUACGUGGAUGCCGGAGCAGACCAUCCCCAUCGCUGUCGGUCUGGGGACAGCACUGUGAUUAGUUACAGGCAACGACAGAGAACACCAAGCCACUGAGCUGGCAAGGGAAGUAAGCACACUGAAACAGGGCACCAGGACAGACAAAACAUGAGAAAGAGCGACAGAUAGCAUAUGGCCAUGGGCGAGCAGGAGCCUGGGCAUGAUGUGAGCAGGAAACAGGGUGAGCAGGCAGGUGAGAAAGGGAAGGGCACCAGCUGAGAGCAAGUCCCAGAGCUACAGCAGGAAUGCGUAACUAAGCUAAGGCUGGCCUUCCCUGGGAGCUUUCAGCAGUGCUUAUGGCACUGAUAGCCAGCAGUGUUUGUAUACUUCGCACUUGGGAUUCCGUGUUUAGAAAAGGAACACAAGGUUCCAAGAAAGAAAAACCACAAAUAAUUCCAGCUAAGAGUCCAAUCCUACGCAAUCUGCUCCUUUGGUUACUGAACAUAAUGUAAAUAUUCAGUUGAAUUUUAUUCUGCUAAGAUAUUUAACCAUUUCAUUGCCAACCAGAGUUGUGUCUACAAAUACAGACCAGUUCCAGUGACCAUGGCCUGACAAAGGUUGUAAACAGCACCUUCUGAUGUUCAGGACCCUAACAUCAGGCUGAACACUGAGAAGGAUCCUGAUGAUGAUGUCAGACUUUAGCACCUUGCCUCGUUUCUCUCACGAUGCCUUUCAUACAAAACUACUCGAUUUCCUGUGUCUGCAGCGCACAGGCAGUAUCUGCCCGUAGUACCUUUGAUAUUUUUAGUCAUGCUGUACAGUACCAUCUCGCUUAAAAUUUGUCUUCAUUUGAGCCCAGGCCCAGUGCCCUGGCUGCCAUCCUUGUUUCAUCUAGGCCAGGAACAAAGGAACUGCACGUUACAGCCUGUCUGUCUGACCGUGUUUUGUUAUACAUAUUUUCUCUCUUCUACAAGUGAUAAGCUUGCUUCCAUUUAAAGCCCGCAGUCAGCUUUAAUCUACUUAGCUGGGAUUAAUGAGAGAUUUGUUAAAGAUUUAAAGAUUUUACACACUUUGCUUACAACUGUUGUUAUCUACAAACAUUGGGCAAUAAGCCCCAUGCAGACAAACUGUCCUUAAAGUCAGGCACAUCCAUCAGGUGUGCCCAGGCUGGCAAAGCAACACUGAUGGCUGACACCUGUUGUGGG
ensembl:lncRNA